rnacentral:lncRNA from 1 species
UGACAUCAGCUGGGGAAGUUUGAGGGCAGACACAUCAAAGCUGGUUCAGCUGAUAGGUGAAAAAUGUUUUAGUUAUUCUAUCUAAAUUGAUUCCACACAAAAUUAGGUGACCCACUGUAAGUAUGACUCUUUGCUACUGUGUUUUUGAAAAGACGAGGGCUACAUAGGUACCUAGAGGAAAUCUGUGUAUCUGAACUGGCUUCUGUUAAGCUGGUGAUCCCAACCACAAUGGUCUGUCUUCUCUGCAGGAUGAAUGGCAGUGAUUCAGAAGGAAAUGCAUUUUGGUAAGGACUUUGGACCCAUUCUGUGUGCACAUGAGGUGUGAGUAUACAACAAUAUACUCUAUAUUUCAAGAGUAAUGUUGGCAACUCAUGAAUACAUAGGCUUCUCUUCAAGGCCAUCCUAUGAAGUGCAUAGUGAAGUAACAACAUUAGAGCUUGCAUCUGUGCUGCACGAAGGAUACCUUUUCUGCAUCUACCUGGCUGCAGGUCAUCACAAGAAUCCUAACAAGUUGAUGGGAUGCAGAGGAACAUCGCUGAAAUGUAGAGAUUCACGUGGGCAGCUUUCUGACCAAUUAGUGACUGCUGGGUAUUAACAGCAACUUUGAGACGGAGGUUAUUCUUUUUCUCAGCCUUCAUUCCUUGCUCUUACCUUGUUUUUUGCUUUCUUUUAAUUAUUGCAUAAAUAGACUUUUUCUCCACCCAUUACCCAUGGGCGGUUUGCCUUUACUCCACUGAUAGAAUACACUUAGAAUACACUGACAUGCUGCAUGCAAUGAAAUAAGCAACAUGUCAAAAAAAAAAAAAAAAAAAAAAAAAAAAAAAAAAAAAAAAAAGACUAAACAUGGAUGAAAACCCUGAGGAAAAACUUGUCUACUGUGAAGUAUUCCCACCAGACAUCAUUAAACUGUACAACACAAAUCUUUUACAAGUCUUGCCAUGUGAAAUAUGCUUAAAAAGAAGAACUAACAUUUUCUUGGAUUAAAAUCUUAUCUAAAUCUUGAAAGCUGUGCUCAGGGCUCAGGGCAGGGGGCAGUCCAGUGACUCAGGUGUCUAAAAUGGCAGUUUUGAU